GAUGAACGCUGGCGGCGUGCCUAACACAUGCAAGUCGAGCGAUCUUCUUCGGAAGAGAGCGGCGGACGGGUGAGUAACGCGUGGGUAACCUGCCUCAUACACAUGGAUAACAUACCGAAAGGUACGCUAAUACAAGAUGAUAUAAGAGAUUCGCAUGGAUUUCUUAUCAAAGCUCCGGCGGUAUGAGAUGGACCCGCGUCUGAUUAGCUAGUUGGUAAGGUAACGGCUUACCAAGGCGACGAUCAGUAGCCGACCUGAGAGGGUGAUCGGCCACAUUGGAACUGAGACACGGUCCAAACUCCUACGGGAGGCAGCAGUGGGGAAUAUUGCACAAUGGGCGAAAGCCUGAUGCAGCAACGCCGCGUGAGCGAUGAAGGCCUUCGGGUUGUAAAGCUCUGUCCUCAAGGAAGAUAAUGACGGUACUUGAGGAGGAAGCCCCGGCUAACUACGUGCCAGCCGCCGCCGUAAAAC
rnacentral:rRNA from 1 species